rnacentral:rRNA from 1 species
UACGGGGGGGCAAGCGUUGUUCGGAAUUACUGGGCGUAAAGGGCUCGUAGGCGGCCAACUAAGUCGGACGUGAAAUCCCCAGGCUCAACUCGGGAACUGCGUCCGAUACUGGCGGGCUUGAAUCCGGGAGAGGGAUGCGGAAUUCCAGGUGUAGCGGUGAAAUGCGGUAGAUAUCUGGAGGAACACCGGUGGCGAAGGCGGCAUCCUGGACCGGCAUUGACGCUGAGGCGCGAAAGCUAGGGGAGC